UUGUGAACGCACUCUCGGGUGCAUUGAAGGAGUGCUUUCGGGCACGCUUUUCUUUUAACUUUUAUUUUUAUAUCUGACAACCAAGAAAAUUUAAAACUUUCAACAACGGAUCUCUUGGUUCUCGCAUCGAUGAAGAACGCAGCGA
rnacentral:misc_RNA from 1 species